GAGGGAAUCGAGUUCGAACUUCGACCUUCCCGAGGAAGUGCUGCAAGUUCUGCCGCCCGAUCCUUUCGAGCAGCUCGAUGUGGCUCGCAAGAUCACCUCCCUCGCCCUCUCGAUACGUGUCUCCGCCCUCGAGUCCGACUGCGACGCCCUCCGCUCCCAGCUCGCCGACAAGGACCUCCUCAUCGCCGACCUCCGCUCCCAGCUCCACUCCCUCGACUCCUCCCUCUCCGACACCGCCGACAAGCUCGCCCUCGCCGAGCAACAAAAGGUCCGACCCGGCCCGGUUCAACUCCAAUUUCCCUCUGAUUAGGCGUUGACUUAUGGUUGACUUUGUGCAGG
rnacentral:lncRNA from 1 species